rnacentral:rRNA from 1 species
CGUGUAGGCGGUCCGCUAAGUCUGAUGUGAAAGCCCGGGGCUCACCCCCGGAAGUGCAUUGGAAACUGGCGGACUCGAGUCCCGGAGAGGAGGGUGGAAUUCCUGGUGUAGCGGUGAAAUGCGUAGAUAUCAGGAGGAACACCGGUGGCGAAGGCGGCCCUCUGGACGGUGACUGACGCUGAGACGCGAAAGCGUGGGGAGCAAACA